UAAAUGUAUUUGAUUCAAUAUAAUUUUUGAAUAUAUUAAACAUUUUCGUUUCUUUUAUAGUUUGUUUUGUAAACAUGUAGUUAUUGAUACUUUAAGUGAAUGGUUGGGUACUGGUAGGUUACCUACUGGAGGGGUAGGCUACUUACUCUGUACUUUGGAAGGGUAGGUUACCUACUUGUUUCAUUGGAGGGGUAGGGUGCCUACUCAAUACAUUGGAGGGGUAGGUUACCUACUGUUUCAUUUGAGGGGUAGGGUGCCUACUUGAUACAUUGGAGGGGUUGGGUACCUACUUGUUUCAUUCGAGGGGUAUGGUACCCACUACCUACUCUUUACAUUUGAGGGGCAUGGUACCCACUACCUAUUCUUUAUUAUGGUAUGGUACCCACUACCUACUCUUAUUUGAGGAGUAUGGUACCCACUACCUACUCGUUACAUUUGAGGGGUAGGAUACCUACUCAUUUCAUUGGAAAGGUACAUUGAAUGGGUAGGGCACCUGCUUGUCACAUUAAAGGUGUUCCAUCUAUCCUAUAAAAUCGUGUUCUUUAACGUUUUGUUGAAUAAACUUGAUUAAAAACUA